rnacentral:rRNA from 1 species
UGGGGAAUUUUGCGCAAUGGGCGAAAGCCUGACGCAGCAACGCCGCGUGAGUGAAGAAGGCCUUUGGGUCGUAAAGCUCUUUUCUGGGGGACGAUGCUGACGGUACUCCAGGAAUAAGCACCGGCCAACUCUGUGCCAGCAGCCGCGGUAAUACAGAGGGUGCAAGCGUUGUUCGGAUUUACUGGGCGUAAAGGGCGUGUAGGCGGAUAUGCAAGCCGGUGGUGAAAUACCCGGGCUCAACCCUGGUUGGUCUGCCGGAACUGCACGUCUAGAGAAAGCCAGAGGCAGGUGGAAUUCCAGGUGUAGAGGUGAAAUUCGUAGAGAUCUGGAGGAACACCGGCGGCGAAGGCGGCCUGCUGGGGCUUUUCUGACGCUGAGGCGCGAAAGCGUGGGGAGCAAACAGGAUUAGAUACCCCCGUAGUCC